rfam:Homo sapiens chromosome 3, GRCh38 reference primary assembly.
GCCAGGUGCUGUGGUGUGCACCUGUAGUCCUAGCUACUUGGGAGGCUUAGGUGGGAGAAUUGCUUGAGCCCAAGAGUUUGAGGCUGCAGUGAGCUAGGAUCACACCACUGCACGCCAGCCUGGGUUACAAAGCGAGAUCCCAUCUCUA